rfam:Heligmosomoides polygyrus genome assembly, scaffold: HPBE_scaffold0001067
GCGCCGGUGGUGUAAGGCGAACAUCGCUGCCCGGAAAGCAGAAGAUGCGGGUUCGAGCCCCGCCUGGCGCA